rnacentral:rRNA from 1 species
UACGGGGGGGCAAGCGUUGUUCGGAAUUACUGGGCGUAAAGGGCCAGUAGGCGGCCAACUAAGUCGGAUGUGAAAUCCCCAGGCUUAACCUGGGAACUGCAUCCGAUACUGGAUGGCUUGAAUUCGGGAGAGGAUGCAGAAUUCCAGGUGUAGCGGUGAAAUGCGUAGAUAUCUGGAGGAAUACCGGUGGCGAAGGCGGCAUCCUGGACCGACAUUGACGCUGAACGGCGAAAGCUAGGGAGCAA